CUUCCCUUCACCAGCUUUCUCUUUACCUGCUGCCAUCCACCUAGGAUGUGACUUGCUCCACCUUGCCUUCCACCAUGAUUGUGAGGCUUCCCCAGCCAUAU